rnacentral:lncRNA from 1 species
CUAUAAUUUUUCAAAUGUUCAACUGAAAUAAAUGAAAAUGAAAAAAAAACAAACCGUUGUUACUAUAGCGAAACCAUGGUUACUAUAGUGAAACCACUGUCGAAAACCACCUGAUAGGGUUAUUUGGAUGAUUUUGAAAAAUUUAGAGGGGAAAACGUUUGGUUUCAAAGUUGAGGGGUUAAGUAGUCAACUCCCAUAGUUUGGGUGGUGAAGUAGACUUAAUUUUCUAGUUUCCUAAGAAAGAAGUGUCCCUACAAUUUUACCAUCUAACCAAAGAAAAACAUAUAUCUUUUCCUAGGAUGUUUACAAACAGUAAAGAAAGAAAUAUAUUGUAGGGAAAUUUAUUGAUUCUUAGUAGUAGUGAAUGGAAUGAUUAAUUAUAUUGAUGUUCUACCGCAGAAUGCGUAUGCAUAUCAUAGCAAAAUGAUAUAGCUCAAACUGUGGCAUAUAUAUAGUACUGUUUAAACGGUGUAUGGUAGGAAAAAUACUACGACAACAAUAUUUUUAUAAACAUCUGCAGCCAUGGCGAUCAGUAUCGAAGCCUACAUGCAUUGUUUCUUUCCGUGCUCGAUCGGUCGAUCGAUCGAUCUGCAGCUUCAACAGCUAGCCAGCAACUUUGACGUGGUAAAUAAGAACGUGUGGGACAUGCUGCAUGUGCUGAUGUGCAGCAGCACAUGUUUCAUUCCUCCACGCUUGGAUCUUUGCGUCGUGCCGUUCGUGCGUCCUUCAUUAGUACCCCUACAGUACUCCAUUACUACAAAAUUCCAUUCAACCAUGUCAUGCAAAAAAAAAAAAGUCAAUAGAAUCUCUACACGCCACGCGAGAAAACCGGCCGAGUGCGGACGUACACCAACCCACGCACCCACUACUCGGUGCUAGCUUCUCGACGGUUUAAUUAGAACAAGUUUAAUAAUACAGCUCACUUGCUGGCUGUAAGGUUUCUUGUAGCCUUCUCCUAGCCCACCCAUACAAUAGUUAGUUAUUCACUAUUAAUACAUGGCCCACUUGUCCCUCUCACAAAGUUUCUUGAUUUCUGUGUCUAAGCUUUCUUGGUUUCUGUGCCUAGGCUGGCUGUAAGCUUACAGCCCGCUUCUCCUCUCUCUCCUCCCUUCUCUCCUCCACUUCAGCAUUUAGCCAGCUUACAGCCCACUAUAAUACUUGCUCUUAGGAGUUGUUCGGUUCUCCGGUAAUGAACCUAGUAACCAUUACAGUACAGCUCAUAAAAGGUUAUAUAAAUUAACCAAUAUCAUUCUGACUGAGAAUCAUUUAUCAUUUGUGUUUCUGAACAACGGGUCCUUAGAGCACUCUCAAUGCUAAGUGUACGUUCCUG